GUUUAUUUUUAAUUAUUGAUUUAAAUUUUAUUUAUAUAAAUUAAAUUAUUAUUAUUAUUAAUUAUUUUUAUUAUUAGAAAAAAUUAUUAUUAUUUAUUUUAGUAUUGUAAAAGAAAAUUAUUAAAAUAAAUAAUUUAUAUUUUUAUGAAUUUACCUUUUGUAUCAGGGUUAUUUAAAAUUAAUAAAUUAUUUUUUAUUUCUCGAAAAAAAUAGAUUUAAUAUAUAAUAAAAUAAAUUAUUUAAUUAAUUUUUUUAAUUAUAUCUUAGAAAUUAAAUGUUUUCGAAAUUUUUGAUAUCUAGUUAUUUUAUAAAUAAAUUUAAUUUAUAAUAAUUUUAUUUUAAUAUUUAAUUUACUAAAUUUUAAAAUUAAUUUUAUUAAAUAAUUUUAGGGAUAAACUUAGAAUUAAUAUUAAUAUAAAAAAAAAAUUUUUUUUUUUUUAAAAUUAAUAAUUUUUAUAAAUUUAUAGUUUUUAAUAAUUAAUAAUUAUUAAAUUUAAUUAUUUUUUUAUUUAAUUUUUUAUAAAAUUAUUUUAGUUAAUAAAAUUUUAUUAAUAAUAAUGAUUAAAUUAGUAAAAAUUUUAUUUAUUUAUAGUUAAAUAUUUAUAUUGAUUUAAUUAAUGAAUUCGGCAAUAAUUAUUUAUUUGACUGUUUAUUAAAAACAUAGUUUAAAGAAUAUAAUUUUAAAUAUUUUCUGCUCAAUGAUUUAUUAUUAAAUAGCUGCAGUAUUUUGACUGUACAAAGGUAGCAUAAUCAUUUGGCUUUUUAUUGAAGUCUGGAAUGAAUGAAUUUACAAAAUAUAUACUUUAUAAAUUAAAUUAAAUUAAAUUUUAUUUUUAAGUUAAAAAUCUUAAAUAUAUAUAAAAGACGAGAAGACCCUAUAGAAUUUUAUAAAAUUAAAUUAAUUUUAAAUUUAAUUAAUAUUAAAUUAUUAUUUUAUUUUAUUUUAUUGGGGUUAUAAAAAAAUUUAUUUAAAUUUUUUAUUUUUUAAACAUAAAUAAAUGAAUUUAAAAAACUUUUAUUAGAAAAAUUAAAUUAAAUUACCUUAGGGAUAACAGCGUUAUAUUUUUGGAGAGAUCAUAUUGAUAAAAAUGUUUGCGACCUCGAUGUUGAAUUAAGAUAAAUUUUUAAUGAAGAUAUUAAAUUUAUUAAGUCUGUUCGACUUUUAAAAUCUUACAUGAUUUGAGUUUAAACCGGUGUGAGCCAGGUUGGAUUCUAUCUUUAUUAAAUUUAUUUAUAUUUGUACGAAAGGACUUUAUAAUACUAAUAAUUAUAAUUUUUAUUGAAUUAAUUUAAAUUA
rnacentral:rRNA from 1 species